GUGGGGAAUCUUGCGCAAUGGGCGAAAGCCUGACGCAGCCAUACCGCGUGAAUGAUGAAGGUCUUAGGAUUGUAAAAUUCUUUCACCGGGGACGAUAAUGACGGUACCCGGAGAAGAAGCCCCGGCUAACUUCGUGCCAGCAGCCGCGGUAAUACGAAGGGGGCUAGCGUUGCUCGGAAUUACUGGGCGUAAAGGGCGCGUAGGCGGACAGUUUAGUCAGAGGUGAAAGCCCAGGGCUCAACCUUGGAAUUGCCUUUGAUACUGGCUGUCUUGAGUACGGGAGAGGUGAGUGGAACUCCGAGUGUAGAGGUGAAAUUCGUAGAUAUUCGGAAGAACACCAGUGGCGAAGGCGACUCACUGGCCCGUUACUGACGCUGAGGCGCGAAAGCGUGGGGAUCGAACAGGAUUAGAAACCCUGGUAGUCC
rnacentral:rRNA from 1 species